AGAGUUUGAUCAUGGCUCAGGACGAACGCUGACGGUGUGCUUUAGGCAUGCAAGUCGAACGAGAAAGCCCUUUGGGGUGAGUAAAGUGGCGAACGGGUGAGUAACACGUGGGCAACCUGCCCCUCGCAGGGGGACAACCGGAGGAAACUCCGGCUAAUACCCCGUAAGCUCUACACGCCGCAUGGCGAGUAGAGGAAAGGUAGCUUCGGCCAUCCGGCGAGGGAUGGGCCCGCGGUGCAUUAGCUAGUUGGUGGGGUAACGGCCCACCAAGGCGACGAUGCGUAGCUGGUCUGAGAGGAUGAUCAGCCACACUGGGACUGAGACACGGCCCAGACUCCUACGGGAGGCAGCAGCCAGGAAUCUUGGGCAAUGGGCGAAAGCCUGACCCAGCAACACCGUGUGGGCGAUGAAGGCCUUCGGGUCGUAAAGCCCUGUUGAUAGGGACGAAGGGCGAAGGGUUAAUAGCCCCUAGCUUGACGGUACCUUUCGAGGAAGCCCCGGCUAACUACGUGCCAGCAGCCGCGGUAAUACGUAGGGGGCGAGCGUUGUCCGGAAUUAUUGGGCGUAAAGAGCGUGUAGGCGGUUCGGUAAGUCUGCCGUGAAAACCCAGGGCUCAACCCUGGGCGUGCGGUGGAUACUGCCGGGCUAGAGGGUGGUAGAGGCGAGUGGAAUUCCCGGUGUAGCGGUGAAAUGCGCAGAUAUCGGGAGGAACACCGGUGGCGAAGGCGGAUCUCUGGGCCUGUACUGACGCUCAUGUGCGAAAGCUGGGGGAGCGAAUGGGAUUAGAUACCCCGGUAGUCC
rnacentral:rRNA from 1 species